rnacentral:lncRNA from 1 species
GCUCCCCAAAGCAAUGGACUCUAGGUAUUCUAGGUGUCCAUGCAUUUGGCUGGAAGAUUUCAAAUGUAGGUCCGGGAGGAUUACCAGGUGUUCUGCAUGGCAGCUGGGAGCAUUUUGGUUUCCGAAAAGGACUGCCCCUCCUUGGAAUUGGUGAGCUGCCAUUCUGGUUUAUACGUGAUUUUCCUGCAGACUACGUAAACAAAUCAGCCCUGAGGAGCCCUGACGCAACAUCAAGUCCAGUUGUCAAGCUGAGGAUCAGAAUGGGAAGGUCGGUCAAGGGCAGCAAAGCACCCUCCAAGACCUGUGCUUCUGCAAAGCUCAUCCUUGGGCUAGCAGCACUGGAUGACCCAGGAAGCUUUCAAAAUAACAAUUCCUGGCCCCCACUCCAGGCUUUCUUGAAUCCCAGUGGGAAGAAAGGACAGCAAGUCUGUACUUUUCACAAGCUCCUUUGAUGAUCCUUAGGCAGCAGAUUUGGGAAAUGCUGCCCAAGAUCACUAUCUUUCUCAUCCCGCUUUAAUUGGAACAGGCAUCUUUUUUUUCUUUGCCCCCAAAUAAUGAUUCUGAAUGCAGAAGACUUAAUUGAGUUUAAUGGGAUCUCCAGUACUGUAGGCUUAAUCAUCCCACGGGUAAUUGCAUUUUGAAAUAAGACCUUGUUAGUACAAAUAAAUCUCUGCAGCAUUAGAGCAUUAUCCUUUGGAGCAAGAAAGAAGGUCAGGUUUGGUUCUGGUGCCCUUUCACCCACCCUUCUGUGCCCUUCUUCUACAUCUGGUGUCUUUCCUAUCUACCCAGCCUGGAAAAUGCACCUUCCCAAGGUGCAAUAGGAACUACUUGACCCUGAUCGCCUCUGUGCAUAAUCUCAGUUGGCCUUAGAAGAUUCCCUAGGAGACACAGGGUUUCAUCAGGACCAGCUUCAGUAUGUGGGUCUUGGACAGCUAUGAUUCAGAUUUCCUGUUAUUUUAGUAGCGGGGGGUUGAGACUUUGAUAUCUUACUUUCUACUUGUUAUUUUCAACUGUGAAAGAGAAUAAGAAUUAACAGAGAAGGACUGAACAAGCAAUUAAAUAUGGCUUUCACCCAAGAAUCUGAGUUGGUGCUCUUUUCAGAAUGGCUGUUUUGGAGAAUUUUUUUCUCCAAAUUUCAGUCUGCUUCCUGGAAUUCUCCUAGUGAUAUACUUUUAUUCUAUUUUGAACUAAACAGAAGCUGUAGUGGAAUUAAG